UAAUUGAAUUGGCUUGGAAAAGUUUUUCAAUGAAAAGGAUAAAAAAAAUGGUUUUUAUCUGCUAUAGGAUAGGAUCGUGUUCGAUUAUGGUUGUUGGUGAGAUAAUGGCUCACCAAGCCGAUAAUCGAUAGGGGCCGUGAGAGCGGGAGCCCCGAGAUGGGUACUGAGACAACGACCCAGGCCUUACGAGGCGCAGCAGGCGCGGAACCUCCGCAAUACACGAAAGUGUGACGGGGUUACCCAAAGUGUUCAAUAGAACUGUGGUAGGUGAGUAAUGUCCCCUACUAGAAAGGAGAGGGCAAGGCUGGUGCCAGCCGCCGCGGUAAAACCAGCUCUUCAAGUGGUCGGGAUAAUUAUUGGGCUUAAAGUGUCCGUAGCCGGUUUAGUAAGUUCCUGGUAAAAUCGGGUAGCUUAACUAUCUGCAUGCUAGGAAUACUGCUAUACUAGAGGGCGGGAGAGGUCUGAGGUACUACAGGGGUAGGGGUGAAAUCUUAUAAUCCUUGUAGGACCACCAGUGGCGAAGGCGUCAGACUGGAACGCGCCUGACGGUGAGGGACGAAAGCCAGGGGAGCGAACCGGAUUAUAUACCCGGGUAGUCCUGGCCGUAAACGAUGCAUACUAUGUGAUGGUACGGCCAUGAGCCGUAUCAGUGCCGUAGGGAAACCGUUAAGUGUGCCGCCUGGGAAGUACGGUCGCAAGGCUAAGACUUAAAGGAAUUGG
rnacentral:rRNA from 1 species